UCCCAUGGUUACCCAAGAGACAGAGGCAGCAGAGCGUCCUGCAGCACGGUAUUUGACAGAGAAAGAAGAAACUGAACAGGUCUUCCUGUUAAACUCAGGAAUGAAAGGUGCUGGCUGUGGCCCUGCUUUGGGGAGUUUGAAGACCAGAUUUUGGGGAUCCAAAUGGAGAAGGGACACAGAAAAAGCCUUGCAAAGGCAGCUGAACUGUGACCGACUUCCCAUUGCUGCCUGCCAACUGGUCACCUAUUAACUCAUUCCCUGGCAUUCCUCUGGGCAAACACCCAGUCAUCUGAAUGCUAUUUGCUGCCAGCGUGUUCCUAGGGCAGCAGCUUUGCAGCCCUGACAGACACCGUGGAUUUUUCCCUGCACGUAUCCGCAGGGAAUGUCUUGGCACAGCAGCAAGCAGUGUGCCAGCCCAGGCCUGGGGCAGCACUGGGGGAUGGCACUGGGACAGUGCCCACCCUGAAAGCAAGGCAAGCAGUAGCAUUUCAUCAGAGGAGAUUUGCAAAGAAAACAUUAUUUCCUCAAAUGUGUUCAUCAUUCAAAAUUAUUCAAGCAAAGGUUUCCAUCUCGCUGUGGCUAUUAUUCAUAAUAUGGGAAUCUGGA